AUGGCGGCGGCGGCGGCGGCGGCGGCGGCGGCGGCGGUGACUCAGGCGAGCAGGAGGGAGCGGCAACAGGCGCAGGGCCACCCUAACGGGUGUGGGGCCUCGAAGCUCAGUGCAGGCUCCGGCGCAGGCCCGGGUCAGGCGCUGGGCAGCCGCGGUGUGUUCAGGCGUCGCUCGCUCACAUCCACAUCCGCAGCAGCCGCCGCUUCCUCCUCCCUGCCCCUUCCCCCACGUCCCUCCACCGGCGCCGCGCGGAGCACGCCGGGUAACGCGCCUGGCGGCGUCGCCGAGUCAUCCCCGUCUGGCGCCGCUUUGAGCUCAGCCUACGUGCCUUUUCCUUUCCCGCUCCAUUGCCCAAAGUGUAGGCGAAGCCAGCGUGAAGGACUGAAACCAAAAUGGGGCGGGGAAGACUUCACUCCCUACCAUUUAGAGUUCAAAAUGGGUUGUAAAGCAGCAGAGACAACUCACAACAUCAACAGCGUAUUUGGCCCAGGAACUGCUAAUGAGAAUGUACAGUGCAGUGGUGGUUCAAGAAGUUUCGCAAAGGAGAGGAGAGCCUUGAAGAUGUGGAGCAUAGUGGCUGGCCAUUGGAAGUUGACAACAACCAAUUAAGAGCAAUCAUCAAAGCCAGUCCUCUUACAACUACACGAGAAGUUGCCAAAGAACUCAACGUUGACCAUUCUGCAGUCGUUUGGCAUUUGAAGCAAAUUGGAAAGGUGAAAAAGCUUGAUAAGUGGGUGCCUCAUGAACUAAGUGAAGAUUUUAAAAAUCAUCAUUUUGAAAUGUCAUUUUCUCUUAAUCUACGCAACAACAGUGAACCGUUUCUCGAUCAGAUUGUGACGUGCCACAAAAAGUGGAUUUUAUACGAUAACCAGCGACAACCAGCUCAGUGGUUGGACCAGGAUGCUCCAAAGCACUUCCCAAAGCCGAACUUGCACCAGAAAAAGGUCAUGGUCACUGUUUGGUGGUCUGCUGCAGGUCUGAUCGACUACAACUUUCUGAAUCCUGGGGAAACCCUUAAUCUGAGAAGUAUGCUCAGCAGUUCGAUGAGAUGCACCAAAAACUGCAAUGCUUGCAGCCAGCAUUUGUCAACAGAAAGGGCCCAGUUCUUCUCUAUGACAGUGCCCAACUGCAUGUUGCACAGCCAGUGCUUCAGAAGUUGAACGAAUUGGGCUACAAAGUUUUGCCUCAUCCUCCAUAUUCACCUGACCUCUCACCAACUGACUACCACUUCUUCAAGCAUCUCGACAACUUUUUGGAGGGAAAAUGCUUCCAUAACCAGCAGCAUGCAGAAUAUGCCUUCCAAGAGUUUGUCGAAUUCCAAAGCAUGGAUUUUUAUGCUACAGGAGUAAACAAACAUUUCUUGUUGGCAAAAAUGUGUUGAUUGUAAUGGUUCUUAUUUUGAUUAAUAAGGUGUGUUUGAGCCUAGUUAUAAUGAUUUAAAAUUUACAGUCUAAAAUCACAAUUACUUUUGCUCCAAGCUAAUACCACACAGUGCCCAGUGCAAUUUCUUGGCAUGAAACCAUUUAUUGUUGAGCUGAAUUGUUGAACUGUCAUGUUUUCCACCAGAGAGGAAACUCCUUUAGAGCAAUAGAUCAUAUUUUAUACUCCUUUGUCUCCCAAAGUUUAUAGUAUAGUGACGUAGAUAGAUGAUUGAUUAAUUCAAAGAAUGAUAGAUGUAUACAUACAUGCUUUAGAACUUACUUGCUUUACAAUAGAAGUUCAGAGAAAGGAAACAUUAUUCAUUCAUUCACUGCCUGGGACAGGGGAAGGUGGAAAACUAAGAGGUUUUCCUUAAGGAAUGGAUAUGAUUUUUAAGUGUGUUGAGAGGGACAGUGUCUUGAAAAAGAGUCCAUAAUGGGAAAUAGAAACUCUCCUAGAAUACCAGUCGCAAAGUGGGUCCAUAGUCUAGGAACAAUUGGAACACUUCAUAAAUAUCUCUAGGGCUACUUCAAAAUCAAAGGGAAUAAACUUCCAAUUGUUUCCGAGCAUGAGGGCUGGAGAAGAGGUGGUGGUAAAAAGGGGUGUUUAUUAAUUUGCCAACUAAAACUAGGCACUGGGUAGGAGGUGCAAAUAUUAGAUUGCUGCAAAAGUAAUUGCGGUUUUUGCUAUAUUUUAAUGACAAAACUGCAGCUGCUUUUGCACCAAACUAAUAUAUAGCCACUACAAACUUUGGAUAAAAGUUCCUAUGUAGGAUCCCACAUUUUUCUUGGUGCUGUGCCAAGCACUGGCUAACACAGAAGCAAAGAGGGGGCUGCAGCAACACAAGGUAAGUAGACAUACCAGCCUCUGAAGAACACAGCUAGGGCUCUAUUCGUUUUUUCACUUUUUAUUUUGAAGUAAUUAUAGGAAGUUGCAAAAAGAACAGAGUCCUGUGUACCCUUGCAUCUCCCAGUGGUGGCAUUUGAUAUUGUUGCAUAAUAUCAAAAUUAGGAAAUUGACUUGUUAACUAGACUACAGAUCUUAUUUGAUUUUUGUCAUAUUUUAACCUGCAUUCAUUUGCGCAUAUGUGUGUAUGCAUGUAACUAUGCAGUAUGCCGUGCAUAAAUGUAUGUAAUCAUCACUGCAGUCAAGAUUCAGAAUUAUUCUAUCACCAGUCUAUUUUUAAUCCUUCCUAUAUUACAGGGCUUUUUGACCUUGAUACUAUUGACAUUUGGGGUCAGAUCAUUUUAUGUUGGGGGAGGCUUUUCUGUGCAUUGUAGGAUGUUUAGCAGAAUCCCUACUCACUAGAUGUCAGUAGCAGUCCCACCCUAUCCCUGUCAUGAUAAUCAAAAAUGUCUCUAGACUGUGCCAGAUGUCCCAUGGGAGGCAAAAUUGCCCCUGGUUGAGAACCACUGCUGUAGAGAGAGCUGGUGGAAUCAUCCCUACCAUCUGCGUCUUUCCUCUUAUUUCCCCUGUUACAAAGUGAAGUAGCAAAUGUUAUCAAGUAUCAAAGAAUGAUAUUUCACUACAAAGUCUUUUUAAUUCUGAGUCUAUCGGAAUACUCAAACUUCACUGUGAAUUUUUAUCAGUAGAUGGUGAGUAUUCCCAGGAUUCCAUUAUAAAUUUAAUCUCAGUUACUGCAUUUCACCUGCUCAUCUCUUAUCAAGAGUCUGGAAUUUACUCAGGUCUUCUGAAAAUAUUUGAAGACUAUUCUUUUUUGACCUCUCUUACAAACAGGUUACUGCUGAUAACCUAAGACAGACACAGUCCCUAAGGCAAGCAGAAGUGGUAAGACUGGUUCUCCUGGAAACAUGAAUAGAAGGAUAUAUAUUUUGAUAAGUAGACUCAGGCUUGGUCUUUUUUUGUGUAAAACUCUAAGUUUAGUGAUUUCAGUGGACAAAUUUUUUCAAAACAUAUUUGGAAUGUGUUUCUUGAGUUAGGAGGUUAGCUUAUGUGAAGAGUAUGCCAUCAUGUAUAAACUAAGUAAAUGAGCCAUGAGGAAAUUAUAGGUGCUUAUUGAGGACAGAAAAGAAGGUUAGAAAUUUUAAACAUCUGUAGUAUGAUGCCAAUCAUUGAAGAAUUCCCCAGAGUGCUUCUGGGGGAAAA